rnacentral:lncRNA from 1 species
AAUGACAAGAGCCCCUUUUGGCUUCUUUAGCCUUAAGGCAGGAAAAGCCCAGUCCAGUGUCCACUUAAGAACCUCACUCUAGGUAAUCACUACCUCUGAGCCCCAAACCUAUGAACAUCUGCCUCUGAGCCUGCUACCCAGCCUCCCACCCCACUCCAGCAGGCUCACUGCUGCAGCCCGCUUCACGCCUGUUUGCCUCAGGGACAGAGCCUCUUUUAUUCAUUUUUCUAUCCAUACGGCACUAAGAUUGAUGCUUUCCAAUCAAUGUUUAUAAAAUUAAAUUUGAUCUACCUGCUUUGCCAGUCUCCUCCCAGGGAGGAGAAUGGAUCCAAAGCAAAUGAGAAACAUUUUUAAAGCAGAUGGACAGAAUACCUGAGUCGGCUGCAGGCCAUGUGACUACCCUCAGAGAUGCAAAAAAAAGCAUCAGCGGUAAACUUAAGAGACUAAAGGGGGACAGGAGGGUUAUCCUAGGAAAGCCAAUGAUUCCAGACGCUCCAGAUCUGCUUCCCACGAGGUGCGUGUGCAAUCUGAUGGUCCACCUCUGGUGGGUUCUUGUGUUCUUCCUUUGUAUCUUUCUCUGCUUUGCUAUUUUCUCCAUGCCUUUCAAUCAGUUCCUCACUUGACUCUCCUCAUAGUCUCAGACUCCCAGUCACUUGUCUGUUUCAUUAUCCCGCCUCUCUCCCUUCUGACUCUCCUCUUGAAUUAGCUAUAAAUAACUAGAUCUACAUCCAUACAUAAAAAAGGUUUAUGUUUGCUAUUCUUUUUUUCUUUUUAAAAACUGAGGCAUAACUGACAUAGAACAUUAUAUUAGUUUCAGGUGUACAACGUAAUGAUUGGACAUUUGCAUAUACUGCAACGGGAUCACCACAGGAAGUCUAGUUCACAUCCAUCAUCACACAGAGUUCUAUUUCUUUUUUCUUGUGAUGAGAACUUUUAAGAUGUACUCUCUUAGCAACUCCCACAAAUGCAGUACAGCAUGAUUAAGUAUAGCCACUCUUAUUUCUGAAGAUGUGAAAAGAGAAUGGGUGGAUAAACGGCCUGGGUGGCACCGGUAUCCACUCAGGACUUUAAAACACCCACACGUCUUUGUCCUGCUCUUUCUUUCUCCCCCAUCAGAGAAGUCUCUUCUUGCUAAACUGCUUCCACGUGGGUUACGGAUCUCAGGCCAGGGAUCGAACCUGCGUCCUCAUGGAUACCAGCCUUUUUCGUUUCAGCUGCGCCUCAACCAGUACUUGGCCUCCUUGGCUCUUAACUAUCCUGCCUCCUCCGUUGCAGCCUCUUCACUCAGUCUCUGGGCGUGCCCAGGUCUCCAGACCCCAAACCCCCCUCCUCCUUUCCCUGACCUCACACCCUCACGUUCAGCCAUCACGGUGCUGCACCCAACUUCUCGAAAAUUCCGUUGCCCCCUGUGCCCCCAUUUCCUUCCCUCCCUUGCAAUCUCUAAGCCCUCCUACUCACCACCCUCCCUCCACCAGGGGAAAUUACUCAGGCCCACUCAGCAUCCCUACCCAGUGACCUGUUAUCAGCUGUUAACCUCAGAGAGGCUUCCGUAGCAUCUCACGCAGGUACCACCCCUUCCCCCCCAUCCCUUCCCUGGCCCCGCCCUCAACUCGCUAAAGGUGCAUCUUCCCAAGGAAGAGCUGUGGGCUUCCCGCCUCUCCCCAGCUCCAAGACCUCACCUGCCCUAGGGUCUGGGCACCAUCUCAGGGUACCAGUGAGUGUGAGGUCUAAGGAGAGACAUGUCUACGUAAAAACAAGGCUUUUGUAAGGUGUCCCGCAUAAACCUGGUUUUUCGCUGUUUAGCAAACAGAGCCUCCUGCCCUGUGUUUUUCCUGUGCCUUUGCUGUGAGACCUCGUUAGGCGAGCAGAGUUCAGCCAGGGAACGCCUGUGUGGGCUCAGAAAAUGGUUCAACAGUGCAGGGAUGGGUGACUAGUUAACCAUGCACCUCCCUCCUACCAAGGACAGCAGAGAAGUGGCCCCCGCCCUCGUGUCCCUCCCUGCCCCAUCGAGUUGCCAGGAGAGCCAGAAAGCCAGCCGAGCUGCAAUCAGGUAUGGUAAUGCGCUUCGUUUGCGGGAUUCUGUUCAAAAACGAGCACUUAGAAUUUGGACUAAAUUAUGACUCUAGCGGUGUCUUCAUAAACGUCCUUCUCUAAAGAAGAAUUUGUAGACUUCCGGGGAAGCAUAACACCUCGACGUUAACUUUUCUUCCCUCAAUAAUAAUAAUAACUAUUAUUAUUUUUGAAAGUGGGUGCAAAAUGUUGAAAAGUCAGAAAAGCUGAAAGUAUGGUGAAACUCCACGUGCUCAUCUCCAUCAAGUAUUAAUAUCUGCCAGAUUUCUUUCCUCUCUAUUUGUAUACAUAUUUUUGUUCUUAUUGAACUAUUGAAAGUAAGUUGCAAACAUCAUGACAUUUCAAUCCUAAAUACCUGAGCACGUAUCUCCUAAGAAUAAGGACAUGCUUCUAUUCAAUCCCAAUGGCAUUGUUACACCUAAGACUAUAAACAAUCAUUCCAUAACAUUAUCCAAUAACCAAGCCAUAGUCAAAGUUUCUCAGUCAUCUUAAAAAUAUAUUUUAGAGCUUUGUUUUCACCAAAUCAGGAUUCAGCUGGAAUUCACACAUUGCAUUUGGUUAUUAUUUCUCUUCGGCAUAUUAGAAAUGGCUUACUGAAAUAAAAUUAACAUUUAAUUUUAAUGCAUCCAUUUUAAAUGUUUUGAUGAGUACCUUGCAACAACCACCGAAAUACGGAAAAUAUUCCCUCAUGCCCUCUUUGCAACCAUUCGCUCCUAUACCUCCCACCUCAGGCAACCACUGGUUUGUUUUUUAUCACUAUAGAUAGCUUUGGGUGGCUGAGAACUUCAUAAAUCAAAUAAUACAGUUUAUUUCUUUUGUAUGUGGCUUCUUCUGCUAAGCGCGUUUUUGAGAUUCACCCAUGUUGAUGCACAUAUACGUAGUUUGUUCCCUUUUUAUUGCUGAGUAAUAUUCCAUUUUAUGAAUAUACCAGUUUGUUUAUCAUUCACCCAUUAAUGAACAUCUGGAUUGCUUCCAGUUUUAAGCUAUUGGGAUUCAAGCUGCUCUGAGCAUUCAUAUAUAGCUGUUUUUUGUGUGUUUUCAUUUCUCUUGGGUAAAAAUCUAGAUGUAAAAUUACUAGAUUAUACAAGAAGUGUAUGUUUAACUUUAUAAGAAACUGCCAAGCUGUUUUUCAAAGUGUUUAUAAUGUUUUAGACUCUUACCAGGAAUAUAUGAAAGUAUUUUCUCCACAUCUUCACCGAUGCUUAUAUUAUCAAUCUUUUCACUUUUUUUCCAUUUUACUGGGUGUGUGGUGGUAUCUCAGUGUGGUUUUAACUUACAUGCCCCUCAUAACUAGAGAUGCUUUACAUCUUUUCAUGUGUUUAUUGCACAUAUAUAUAUAUGUUCUUUUUGUGAUGUGUGUGUUCAAGUAUUUGCCCGUUUAAAAAUUGAAUUUUACUUUUAUUAUUGACUUGUACAUAUGAGUCCUUUGCCAGGUUUAUGUAUUACAAAUAUUUUCUUCUAGUUGGAGACUUGACUUUUUAUUUUUUAGUGGUAUUCUUUUUGAAGCAAAGAAAUCUUUGAUUUUGAUGAAAUCCAGUUUAUCAAUAUUUUCUUUUAAGAUUGGUGCUUUUUCAUGUCCUGUCUAAGAAAUCUUUGCAUACCCCAGGGUUGUUCUAUGUGUUAUUCUAGAAGGUUUGUUGUUUUAGUUUUUACAUAUAGGCCUAGACUCCAUUUAGAGUUAAUUUUUAUAUGUAAUGUGAGAUAGAAAUUAAGAUUUAUUUUCACACAUAUAUUCAGUUGUUCUAGCACCUGUUGUUGUUGAAAAGACUCUUUCCCCCACCCAGUUCCACCUUUGCAAAAAAAUAGAAAAUAAAAAUCCAUUGACCAUAUACUUAUGGAUCUCCUUCCAGAUUCUAUUCUAGUACAUUCUUUAUGUCAGUGUCUUGGUUGAAUUCAAUGUUUCACAAAUGUUUCACAGUUGCUCUUUUUCAAAAUUAAUUUGAGUCUUCUGGUCCUUUACAUUUUCACAUACAUUUUAUAGUAAACUUCCCAUUUUCUACUUUUAAAAAUGACUAUAGCAAUUUUGAUUGUGAGUGUAUUGAAUCUACAAAUCUGUUGGGGAGAACUGACGUUUUAACCGUACUGAUUCUCCCAAUCCAUGAACGUGGUAAAUCCGUCUGUUUAUUUGGAGAUUGCUUAAUUUCUUUCAACAAACUUUUGUAAUUUUCAGUACACAGUUCAUAUAUUUAUAUAUAAAUGUAUCUGAAAACAUUGGUUUUUAUGUUAUAGUAGUAUUUCAUUUUCCAGUUAAUCGUGCUGAAUACAGACAUGCAGU